rfam:Loxodonta africana unplaced genomic scaffold scaffold_15, whole genome shotgun sequence.
CCCUGAGUGGUGCAAAUGGUUAAGCACUUAGCUACUAACUGAAAGGUUGGUGGUUCAAAUCCACCCAGAGGUG